GACGAACGCUGGCGGCGUGCUUAACACAUGCAAGUCGAACGGAAAGGCCCUGCUUUUGUGGGGUGCUCGAGUGGCGAACUGGUGAGUAACACGUGAGUAACCUGCCCUUGACUUUGGGAUAACUUCAGGAAACUGGGGCUAAUACCGGAUAGGAGCUCCUGCUGCAUGGUGGGGGUUGGAAAGUUUCGGCGGUUGGGGAUGGACUCGCGGCUUAUCAGCUUGUUGGUGGGGUAGUGGCUUACCAAGGCUUUGACGGGUAGCCGGCCUGAGAGGGUGACCGGCCACAUUGGGACUGAGAUACGGCCCAGACUCCUACGGGAGGCAGCAGUGGGGAAUAUUGCACAAUGGGCGGAAGCCUGAUGCAGCAACGCCGCGUGCGGGAUGACGGCCUUCGGGUUGUAAACCGCUUUCGCCUGUGACGAGGCGUGAGUGACGGUAAUGGGUAAAGAAGCACCGGCUAACUACGUG
rnacentral:rRNA from 1 species